rnacentral:rRNA from 1 species
UACGUAGGGGGCAAGCGUUGUCCGGAUUUAUUGGGCGUAAAGAGCGUGUAGGCGGUUUUACAGGUCCGCUGUGAAAACUCGAGGCUCAACCUCGAGACGCCGAUGGAAACCCUCAGACUAGAGUCCGGAAGAGGAGAGUGGAAUUCCUGGUGUAGCGGUGAAAUGCGCAGAUAUCAGGAAGAACACCCGUGGCUAAGGCGGCUCUCUAGUACGUGACUGACGCUGAGACGCGAAAGCGUGGGGAGCGAACAGG